AUAGAACGCUGGCGGCAGGCUUAACACAUGCAAGUCGAGCGGGGUGAUGGUGCUUGCACUAUCACUUAGCGGCGGACGGGUGAGUAAUGCUUAGGAAUCUGCCUAUUAGUGGGGGACAACAUCUCGAAGGGGAUGCUAAUACCGCAUACGUCCUACGGGAGAAAGCAGGGGAUCACUUGUGACCUUGCGCUAAUAGAUGAGCCUAAGUCGGAUUAGCUAGUUGGUGGGGUAAAGGCCUACCAAGGCGACGAUCUGUAGCGGGUCUGAGAGGAUGAUCCGCCACACUGGGACUGAGACACGGCCCAGACUCCUACGGGAGGCAGCAGUGGGGAAUAUUGGACAAUGGGGGGAACCCUGAUCCAGCCAUGCCGCGUGUGUGAAGAAGGCCUUAUGGUUGUAAAGCACUUUAAGCGAGGAGGAGGCUCUUUUGGUUAAUACCCAAGAUGAGUGGACGUUACUCGCAGAAUAAGCACCGGCUAACUCUGUGCCAGCAGCCGCCGCGG
rnacentral:rRNA from 1 species